UACGUAGGCAGCGAGCGUUGUUCGGAGUUACUGGGCGUAAAGAGUAUGUAGGCGGUUGCGUAAGUUUGGGGUGAAAUCUCCCGGCUUAACUGGGAGGGUGCGCCGAAAACUGCGUGGCUAGAGUGUGGGAGAGGAAAGCGGAAUUCCUGGUGUAGCGGUGAAAUGCGUAGAUAUCAGGAGGAACACCGGCGGUGUAGACGGCUUUCUGGACCAUUACUGACGCUGAGAUACGAAAGCGUGGGUAGCAAACAGG
rnacentral:rRNA from 1 species